rnacentral:rRNA from 1 species
UACGUAGGGUGCAAGCGUUAAUCGGAAUUACUGGGCGUAAAGCGUGCGCAGGCGGUUUUGUAGGUCUGUCGUGAAAUCCCCGGGCUCAACCUGGGAAUUGCGAUGGAGACUGCAAGGCUAGAAUCUGGCAGAGGGGGGUAGAAUUCCACGUGUAGCAGUGAAAUGCGUAGAGAUGUGGAGGAAUACCGAUGGCGAAGGCAGCCCCCUGGGAUAACACUGACGCUCAUGCACGAAAGCGUGGGGAGCAAACAGG